rnacentral:lncRNA from 1 species
GGAACUCUCUUCUGUCUGCAGCGGCGGCGGAGACAAGAGAAAACAGACAUCAGCGUCGCGCAGCGCAACCUUACAAACUGAUAUCCUGUGGUGUGAGGCUGCAGUAACCCUGGAAUCAGCCUGAUUUGUUUCAAAUUAAACACAAGAAAUUUGUUCAACUAAUGCAUAAUGCCACGAUCUGCUGAACUUCCAGAGGAGUUCAAAGAACAGAUUGUUAUGUACCAUAAGGCAGGUAAGGGAUACAAAUCUAUAUCAAAGAUCACUGGACUGCACCAAUCUACAAUCAGAUCCAUAAUCCGCAAAUGGAAAAUGCUUGGAACCGUGAUGAAUCGUCCCAGGAGUGGUCGACCGACUAAAAUCUCUCCGAAGAUGCAACGUAAAAUCAUAAAGGAAGUCGCAAAAAAACCUGAGAUAACGUUGGAAGAGCUGCAGACUUGUCUUGCUAUAGCAAAAGUCAAUGUUCACAAAUCUACGAUCAGGAGGAGAUUGGACCAAAUCAAACUUCGAGAGAUGGUAGCAAAGCGAAGGAACAAGAAAUCAAAUGCUCAUCUUCGAUUUGAGAAACACGCUCAAGUUUUUGAACGAAGUUGUGUAAAGACAGAAGUAGCAGAAGUGGAGGUUUCUGUUUAAAACAAAUAGGUUUACAACAAUUCACACUACAAACACAAUGAAUUCUUAACUCUUCAUGUUGUCCGCAUUUUAAUCAUGCAUUUAACUCAAUUUAAGGUUAAUUUAUCAGUGAUUUUCUUACAACAACUUGAGGACAGUUUCAGUAGACUGACAACAAUAUGGUAACAAUGGCCACUAUGUUGAAUUCCAAAUAUUUAUUGCUUGAUGAUAUAACUAACUAAUACAAGAUGGCUAACAGUCAUGUGCUGAAUGUGCUCACCUCAAAGUCCUGACUGAAAUGCCAUUGGCGAGAACUGCAAAAACUCCAAAAA